CACGUAGGGGACGAGCGUUGUCCGGAUUCAUUGGGCGUAAAGCGUCCGCAGGUGGCUAUGUAAGUCUGCUGUUAAAGAGUGAGGCUCAACCUCAUAAGAGCAGUGGAAACUACAUAGCUAGAGUGCGUUCGGGGCAGAGGGAAUUCCUGGUGUAGCGGUGAAAUGCGUAGAUAUCAGGAAGAACACCGGUGGCGAAAGCGCUCUGCUAGGCCGCAACUGACACUGAGGGACGAAAGCUAGGGGAGCGAAUGGG
rnacentral:rRNA from 1 species